CCCACUGCUAUCGGGGUGGGACUAAAACAUGCGAGUCGAGCGCUUUCAAGCUAUGGUGAAGGCGCGGCGAACGGCUCAGUAACACGUGGCUAACCUACCCUUUGGACGGGGACAACCCCGGGAAACUGGGGCUAAUCCCCGAUAGGUGAGGAGGCCUGGAAUGGUUUCUCAUCUAAAAGGCGUUUAGACCAUGCUUCUAGGCGUCGCCAAAGGAUGGGGCCGCGGCCGAUCAGGUUGUUGGUGAGGUAACGGCUUACCAAGCCUAUAACCGGUACGGGCCGUGAGAGCGGGAGCCCGGAGAUGGGCACUGAGACAAGGGCCCAGGCCCUACGGGGCGCAGCAGUUGCGAAAACUCCGCAAUGCGCGAAAGCGUGACGGGGCUACCCCGAGUGCCGUCCGCUGAGGACGGCUUUUCCACGGUGUAAGGAGCCGUGGGAAUAAGGAGAGGGCAAGCCUGGUGUCAGCCGCCGCGGUAAAACCAGCUCUCCGAGUGGUGGGGAUGAUUAUUGGGCUUAAAGCGUUCGUAGCCGGCUCAGCAAGUCUUCCGUUAAAUCCAGCGAUCUAAUCGUUGGACUGCGGAAGAUACUGUUGGGCUAGGGGACGGGAGAAGCCGACGGUAUUCUCGGGGUAGGGGCGAAAUCCUAUAAUCCCGGGAGGACCACCAGUGGCGAAGGCGGUCGGCUAGAACGCGCCCGACGGUGAGGGACGAAAGCUGGGGGAGCGAACCGGAUUAGAUACCCGGGUAGUCCCAGCUGUAAACUAUGCGGGCUAGGUGUUGGGGCGGCCAGAGCCGCUUCAGUGCCGCACGGAAGCAAUUAAGCCCGCCGCCUGGGAAGUACGGCCGCAAGGCUGAAACUUAA
rnacentral:rRNA from 1 species